rnacentral:rRNA from 1 species
GACAGAGGGUGCAAACGUUGUUCGGAAUUACUGGGCGUAAAGCGCGUGUAGGCGGCUAAGUAAGUCGGGCGUGAAAUCCCACGGCUCAACCGUGGAAGUGCACUCGAAACUGCAUAGCUAGAGUCCUGGAGAGGAAGGUGGAAUGCUUGGUGUAGAGGUGAAAUUCGUAGAUAUCAAGCGGAACACCAGUGGCGAAGGCGACUUACUGGACACAUAUUGACGCUGAGGUGCGAAAGCGUGGGGAGCAAACAGG